rnacentral:lncRNA from 1 species
CAUUGGGUUUGAUCUUCAGCACCACAUAAAAAUAAAUAAACAAAAUGAAAAUAUUGUGUCCAUCUAUAACUAAAAGUUAAAAAAAGAAGUUUAUUUUUCUUUAUACUUGAAAUAUUAACAUUUUACUGGACUACAUCUAAGUGUGAAUUUCCUUUGAUAUAUUUUGUUUGGAAGUUGGUAUUCAAAAAUUACUGAAUGCAUACAAUGAAAUGCACUUUGAAAAGACAAAAAUAUCUUCAUAUUAUGAAAUAGUUUUGACCUUGUGGACCUCCUGAAAGGGCUUGAGAGAUCCCCAAGAGGUCCAUGGAUUAUACUUUUGAGAACCACUGUUACAGGAAAAUGGACUUACCUUUUGUAUCAUUUUGAGACAGUGGGGUUUGUUCUCUAGUAUAUGUUAGAAUUAGUGAGCAAUAUUUGGUUCUGGUUUUCUCAUAGCCUUAUAGGAUAUGUGGGACCAGUUAGGGUAACACAGAAUUUUUGCUUCCCUUAUUCAAACUCUGGGCUGAUCAAACUUUUUAGAAGUCAGUGAAAAGAUGUUCUACUGAACUUGACCUCUCCCUGCCUCCUGUCAUGAGCUUAGCAGCUUUCUUCCUCCACACCUGUCUGUCAUGAUGUUCUGCCUCAUCACAGCCCUGAAGCAGUGAAUUGGCUGACCAUGGACAGAAUCUCUGACACCGUUCCAGGGUAUCCAAGAAGCUUUCACCAAAGUCUUCUCAAAUGAAAGGACAACAACUCAUGGUGCCAGUGGGGGAACCUGUAUCAUAUAUGAGCAAACAGUCUUUGGAUGGUGUUAUGGUUUGGAUAUGCAAUGUACCCCCAAAGCUCCUGUGCCAAUGUAGGAAUAUUCAGAGGAUUAUGAGAGCUAAAACUUAAUCAGUCCAUCCGAGUUUAAAUGGACUAGUUGGUAACUGUCGGCAGGUGGGUGGGUCAGUGGAGGGUGUGCCCUGGAAGGGUUCAUCUUCCCUGUGGCCCCUUCUUUUCUCCCUCUGUCUGAUUUCUGGUUGCCAUGAGUGGAGCAGCGCUGCUCCCCCCAUACCCUUCCACCAUGAUGUUUUGCCUCAUCUUGGACCCAGAACAAUGGAAUUGGCCAACCAUGGACUUAACCUCUGAAACUGUGAGCCCAAAUAACCUUUUUCUCCUCCAAAUUGUUAUUGUUGGGUAUUUUGGUCACAGUGAUGAAAAGCUGAC